rnacentral:misc_RNA from 1 species
UUUCCGUAGGUGAACCUGCGGAAGGAUCAUUAACACAUACCCAAGGGAUUCACACCCCUUACCUACCCACCGGUGCAUCAGUACCUGCGAGAGGGGUGCCAACGGCACCCCUCCCUAUUUUUGACCCUAACCAACACACCAAACCAUCGGAACAGCACAGCGCGUUCGCGCACUGUGGAUUUGUACCAACGCUAAACAACUUUUAACAACGGAUAUCUUGGUUCUC